rnacentral:rRNA from 1 species
GAUGAACGCUAGCUACAGGCUUAACACAUGCAAGUCGUGGGGCAUCAUGAUGUAGUAAUACAUUGAUGGCGACCGGCGCACGGGUGAGUAACGCGUAUCCAACCUACCCUCCACUCAAGUAUAGGCUUCCGAAAGGGAGAUUAAUCCUUGAUAUCGUCAUUCUCUCUCCUGUUAGAAUGAUAAAAGGACAUCGUUUCGGUAGAGGAUGGGGAUGCGUUCCAUUAGGUAGUAGGUGGUUUAACAGGCCACCUAGCCGAUGAUGGAUAGGGGUUCUGAGAGGAAUAUCCCCCACACUGGUACUGAGAUACGGACCAGACUCCUACGGGAGGCAGCAGUGAGGAAUAUUGGUCAAUGGGCGCAAGCCUGAACCAGCCAUGUAGCGUGAA